rnacentral:tRNA from 1 species
GGAGGGUAUAGCUCAGUGGCAGAGCACAUGCUUUGCAUGCAUGAGGUCCUGGGUUCAAUCCCCAGUACCUCCA